rnacentral:misc_RNA from 1 species
AACUUUUAACAAUGGAUCACUUGGCUCUCGCAUCGAUGAAGAAAGCAGCGAAAUGCGAUACGUAAUGUGAAUUGCAGAAUUCAGUGAAUCAUCGAAUCUUUGAACGCACCUUGCGCCCCUUGGAAUUCCGAGGGGCACACCCGUUUGAGUGUCGUGAACAUCCUUCAACCUUUCUUGGUUUCUUAACCGGGGAAGGCUUGGACUUUGGGGGUCUUUCAUUGCUGGCCUCUUUGAAGCCAGCUCCUCCUAAAUGGAUUAGUGUGGUCUGCUUUGCCGAUCCUUGACGUGAUAAGAUGUUUCUACGUCUUGGGUUUCGCACUGUCGCUUUAGACCCCGCUUCUAACCGUCUUGCAUUCAAGACAGAGUUUUAAACCUUGACCUCAAAUCGGGUGAGACUACCCGCUGAACUUAAGCAUAUCAAUAAGCGGAGGCU